rnacentral:tRNA from 1 species
GGCCUCGUAGCUUAGUUGGCCGGAGCUUUGGCUGUACCAAAACCUUAUUGCCGGCGUAGGUUCGAAUCCCACCGAGGGCG